GUGCCAGCCGCCGCGGUAAUACGUAGGUGGCAAGCGUUAUCCGGAAUUAUUGGGCGUAAAGCGCGUGUAGGCGGUUUUUUAAGUCUGAUGUGAAAGCCCACGGCCCAACCGUGGAGGGUCAUUGGAAACUGGAAAACUUGAGUGCAGAAGAGGAAAGUGGAAUUCCAUGUGUAGCGGUGAAAUGCACAGAGAUAUGGAGGAACACCAGUGGCGAAGGCGACUUUCUGGUCUGUAACUGACGCUGAUGUGCGAAAGCGUGGGGAUCAAACAGGAUUAGAUACCCCCGUAGUCC
rnacentral:rRNA from 1 species